ensembl:rRNA 5S_rRNA 5S ribosomal RNA
CCUUACGACCACACCGGCCUGAGUACGCCUGAUCUCGUCUGAUCUCAGAAGCUAAGCAGGGUCGGGCCUGGUUAGUACUUGGAUGGGAGACUUCCUGGGAAUACCAGGUGCUGUAAGCU